rnacentral:lncRNA from 1 species
CCCACCAAUGCUUUGUGAUGGACCUAUCUUCUUCUCUUUGCAGUAAUUGUGACUCAGGGGAAGGGGUACCCCCUCAACUUCUCCCUGAAGGUUCUCGAUGGUCCCACGGAGCCGGUCAAAGUAGGCUCCCUACUAACCCUGGAAGCUCGAGUGGAGCCUGUUCCUGGCCAUGCCCUGAAAAUCUAUGUGGACAAGUGCUUCGGGAUGCAGACCAGAGUGCUGGGCCAGAGCCAAAGGAUGCAGUCCCUUGUCUUCAAUCAGGGGUGCCUCCUUGGACGGGUGGAGCCGUUGCCAUCCUGGUUGCGCCAAGACAAUGAGACGUUGUGGUUCACUGUCCCAGCCUUUAUGUUGAGUGACAGGAACAAGGAGGAGAAGGUGUAUAUUGCCUGCUGGCUGCUGGUUUGGAGUCAGAAGAAGGUGGUGGAACCCGGCCGGAAAAUGUGUUACUACAAUUCCCUCUCCUCCAGGCCUAGCUGGUACCUCCAGGAGGGCAGCCUUGGGAAUUCUGUGUGUCACUGCUGUGAGACUGUCUGUCCAUCAUUGGAGAGUUUCCACAGAGAGUUCCCAGGUGAAGGGAGAGCCCACAUGCUCCUGGUUGGACCCUUGGUCGUGCAGAAGGCUCAGACUUUCUGGUUUGAAGACCACUGUACGACCCUGAAUGAGCUGAUAGUCUCCGGGAUGGCCUUCACGGGCAGCUUCGGCAUGGUGCUGAUGAUCGUACUGGCCAUCUUGGGCACGCUGGUGGCCUGUGUCCGGCCCAUGUGCCGCUGGCCCCGGAUGACGUGGGUGAGACCCAGAGAGAGCCCUUUCCAAAGAGAGCUGGUGACUUUUGAGGAGGCCCUGGACAGCCCGGUCAGGGAGGAAGAAGAGAGGCCAGCGGAGGUGGAAAGGGGACAAAGCUGAGGAGCUUCCCUUGCUCUUGAAAUAAAGCGCCUUUUAGAAUGCUACA